AGAGAGGUGAGUAGGGGUUCUGUUUGUUUCGAUAGAAAAUGAUUUGGGGAAACAUCUUUGGGCAGGGUGGUACAUUUCCAAAUCGACGUAUCUGCUUCUGAUUUGUCGAUUGUUCGCUGCCUUGCUUUUCUGCAACGGAUGCUACAAAUUAGGGCUGAUCGAGUUUCGGAGCUUUACAAUCUUCAAAAUUGGUGAGAGAGACGAACAUUCUCUAGAAAUGAGUACAAGUUUCCUCUGUAAAAGAGUAGUGUCGCUCACAAAUGUGGGGCAAAUGUUUGAAAUUUCAAGGACCCAAAUGCAUUUUCUUCAAAAUACCCAACUUUUGAUUUUUAGAUCUUUCUCUUCGUCCAAACAACAUUCUUUCACAGUGUCUUACCUCAUAAACUCAUGUGGGUUGUCCCCAGAGAGUGCUUUAUCUGCAUCACGGAAGGUACAGUUUGAAACCCCAGACGGAGCAGACUCCGUGCUUGCACUCCUUAGAAAUUAUGGAUGCACCAAUACCCAUAUCUCCAAAAUUGUAAGCAAGUAUCCGCUCCUGCUCAUUGCCAAUUCUGAGAAAACCCUUUUGCCCAAACUGGAGUUUUUCAGUUCUGCAGGCUUUUCAGGGCCUGACCUUGUCCGUAUUGUCGUUGGAAGCCCAAGUAUCCUGAAAAGGAGCUUGGAAAACCAUCUUAUUCCUAGUUAUAAUUUCCUCAAGAGUAUGGAUAUGGUCCAUGAAAAUAUUGUGAAGGCUUUCAGUAGGUCAUACUGGCUUACCGGUAAAAGUGUGCAAGAUACCAUCGCUUCAAACGUUGAAAUUCUGAAAGAAAUAGGAGUUCCCAUGUCAAAUAUUUCGUCUUUGGUGGCAAUGCACCCUUGUGCAGUGUUCCAAAACAGGGAAAAGUUUAGUAGAAGUGUCGAGAAGGUUUUUGAGAUGGGAAUCAAUCCUUUGAGAGUUACGUUUCUGAAAGCAGUUCAAGUGAUCUGUGGAGUGGCUGAAUCAAUGUGGGAGCAUAAAAUGCAGGUUUACAGGCAGUGGGGUUUUACAGAUGACGAGAUUAUGUUGAUGUUCCGAUUGGAUCCCUUAUGUAUAAAGUCAUCGGAGAAGAAAAUAAUGAGUGUGAUGGAUUUUUUGGUUAAUAAGAUGGGUUGGGAACCUGCAAGUAUUGCUAGAUAUCCAACAGUCUUUUUGCGAAGUUUGGAGAAGAAGAUCAUUCCACGGUGUUCAGUAGUGAAAGUUCUUCAAAUGAAGGGGUUGGUGAAGAAGGAUCUGUGUUUGGGUAUUUUAGGCUGCAGUGAAGAGAAUUUCUUUGAUAAGUUUGUGGUGAAAUAUGAGCAAGAUGUUCCCGAGCUUUUAAAUGUAUAUCAAGGAAAAAUUGGUAUUUUGGAACUUGGCUUUGUCUCCGAGGGGGUAAGGGAGAAGAAACAGUUGUAGCAUCUCAACUUCACAAUUCCAAAUGGUCUUUUGGAGCUCGAAUCCCCAUAAUUUGGUUUGUGGAGGGCUUUGGUUUAUCUACAAUCUCUUGUUUCCUACAUGGGAAGUUUCAAGCUGCAUCAAGACUUACAAAUCAAAAUAGGAUCUAAAAGGGCCUCUGUUCAUCCAAUGUCCCCUGUUCAGUUCCUUCAGACAUGGAAACUGCUGCAAGACCUUGGAUCUUCCCUGACAGAUCUUCCAAAGCAGAAUGCUUGGUAUGCAACAUGUUGAGCCUUCUACUGAGGGACCCCUGGAAAGGAAAGUCCCCAUUGCCACAGAGUAAUGCUUUGGUAUGGAUUGGAUGUUUCUAUUUGAUCAGUAAUAUAAGGUCCUGUUUGGUAAA